rnacentral:rRNA from 1 species
AUUGAACGCUGGCGGCAGGCCUAACACAUGCAAGUCGAGCGAGCGGCGGACGGGUGAGUACUGUUUGGGGAUCUGCCCGAUAGAGGGGGAUAACUACUGGAAACGGUGGCUAAUACCGCAUACUAUCGGAUGUACCCAUAUGGGAUUAGCUAGUAGGUGGGGUAAAGGCUCACCUAGGCGACGAUCCCUAGCUGGUCUGAGAGGAUGAUCCGCCACACUGGGACUGAGACACGGCCCAGACUCCUACGGGAGGCAGCAGUGGGGAAUAUUGCACAAUGGGCGCGAGCCUGAUGCAGCCAUGCCGCGUGUAUGAAGAAGGUCUUAGGGUUGUAAAGUACUGUCAGCGGGGAGGCGUUACCCGCAGAAGAAGCACCGGCUAACUCCGUGCCAGCAGCCGCGGUAAUAC